AUUGAACGCUGGCGGCAGGCCUAACACAUGCAAGUCGAAUGGAGUGGCGGACGGGUGAGUAAUGUCUGGGAAACUGCCCGAUGGAGGGGGAUAACUACUGGAAACGGUAGCUAAUACCGCAUACUAUCAGAUGAGCCUAGGUCGGAUUAGCUAGUUGGUGGGGUAAAGGCCUACCCAGGCGACGAUCCGUAACUGGUCGGAGAGGAUGAUCAGUCACACUGGAACUUAGACACGGUCAAGACGCCUACGGGAGGCAGCAGUGGGGAAUAUUGGACAAGGGGCGAAAGCCUGAUUCAGUCAUGCUGGGUGUGUGAAGAAGGUCUUCGGAUUGUAAAGCACUUUAAGUUGGGAGUCUUUACCAACAGAAUAAGCACCGGCUAACUUCGUGCCAGAAGCCGCGGUAAUGC
rnacentral:rRNA from 1 species